AUUUCCUAUGGGGGGCAGCAGUGGGGAAUAUUGGGCAAUGGGCGCAAGCCUGACCCAGCAACGCCGCGUGAAGGAAGAAGGCUUUCGGGUUGUAAACUUCUUUUGACAGGGAAGAGCAGAAGACGGUACCUGUCGAAUAAGCCACGGCUAACUACGUGCCAGCAGCCGCGGUAAUACGUAGGUGGCAAGCGUUAUCCGGAUUUAUUGGGUGUAAAGGGCGUGUAGGCGGGAGCGCAAGUCAGAUGUGAAAACUCAGGGCUCAACCCUGAGCCUGCAUUUGAAACUG
rnacentral:rRNA from 1 species